CCAGUCAUCUAAUAAUAAUGAGACGAGGAU
rnacentral:tRNA from 1 species